UACGGAGGGGGCGAGCGUUAUUCGGAAUCAUUGGGCGUAAAGGGCGCGUAGGCGGCCCCGUAAGUCUUGGGUGAAAGCCCUCGGCUCAACCGAGGAAUUGCCUUGGAUACUGCGGGGCUCGAGGCUGGAAGAGGGCAGUGGAAUUCCCGGUGCAGCGGUGAAAUGCGUAGAUAUCGGGAGGAACACCAGUGGCGAAGGCGGCUGCCUGGGCCAGUUCUGACGCUGAGGCGCGAAAGCGUGGGGAGCAAACAGG
rnacentral:rRNA from 1 species